AACGAGACCUUUAACCUGCUAAAUAGCUAGGCUGGCUUCGGCUGGUCGCCGGCUUCUUAGAGGGACUAUCGGCUCAAGCCGAUGGAAGUUCGAGGCAAUAACAGGUCUGUGAUGCCCUUAGAUAUCCUGGGCUGCACGCGCGCUACACUGACGGAGCCAACGAGUUCACUCCCUUGGCCGGAAGGUCUG
rnacentral:rRNA from 1 species